UAUCUUGCUGUUGUUCAAAAAUGACAAAAAAUAAUAUUUGCGGGAAAAUUUAUUUCACACAAACAGAAAACUAUGUUGUAAAGUAAUACGCCAAUCGAUUCGUUCGCAACUAUAGGACAGGCAUCAAAUUCCGAACUUUGAGUUCUGAUUUAUGUGGUGUACAUCGUUCUCAUUAAAAUCUCACAAGCUCAGCUGUGAGCUAUCGGUGCGUCCAACGGUUGCGGAUAGUGGAAUUCUCCAUAAGGGUAACUGCAAGUGCAGUAGCGGGCAUUCAGCGGCAUAGAGUCGAGCGCCUAUAAUACUCGAUAUGACAACGAGAGUUAUAGGCACCUUUCAUCUUUAGGAACUCGAAAAAAAAACUAUUUCCACAAGCAAAUAUGUGGCUACUACAACAUCGUGGCUAUUGCAACUGCAGUCGCGGACAUUCAGCUGUGUAGUAGAGUCGAGUGCCUAUAAUACUCGAUAUGACAAGGUGAGUCAUAGGCACCUCUAAAUAAUGAAUGACCAUCAAAUUUCUGGGGACCUGAAUGAACUUGCUCACCUUUAGAAACUUAAAAAUAAAGCCAUUUCCACAAGCAAAUAUGUGGCUACUACAACAACAAUUUACCAUUUCCAUGGCAGAGGUCUAUACGUACCGGAUUGAUCCUAUGGAGUCCUUCGUCGGGCAAGGGCUGUCGCCUCAGUGUAUAACACACUUCUACAGCAAAAGCAACAACUUAGCAGCUGAGCGAGACCAUCCGCUGCCCAAUGCAGCUGAAGAAGUUAACCUCCCCCGGAUGACAUUUCGCAUCGGGAACUUCUUGGCCAACUGGUAUGGAGACAUCACCUUGGGGACAAGCACUUAGAGCAACCAAUAGAUUCAUGUCAGCUAUAAACUCAAUGUAAUCACCUUUACGGGCCGGACUUGGUUUGCAGAA